rnacentral:rRNA from 1 species
CCUACGGGAGGCAGCAGUGGGGAAUAUUGCACAAUGGGGGGAACCCUGAUGCCGCGACGCCGCGUGGGUGAAGGAGUACUUCGGUACGUAAAGCCCUAUCAGCCGGAAAGAAAAUGACGGUCCCUGACUAAGAAGCCCCGGCUAACUCCGUGCCAGCAGCCGCGGUAAUACGUAGGGGGCAAGCGUUAACCGGAUUUACUGGGUGUAAGGGGAGCGUAGGCGGCAGUGCAAGUCCGGAGGGAAAGCCCGGGGCUCACCCCUGGGACUGCUCGGUAAACUGUAAAGCUGGAGUGCGUGAGGGGCAGGCGGAAUUCCUGGUGUAGCGGUGAAAGGCGUAGAGAGCAGGAGGAACACCGGCGGCGAAGGCGGCCUGCUGGACCGUAACUGACGGUGAGGCUCGAAAGCGUGGGGAGCAAACAGGAUUAGAUACCCUAGUAGGC